rnacentral:rRNA from 1 species
UUGGUUGUAAAGCACUUUAAGCGAGGAGGAGGCUCCUUUAGUUAAUACCUAAAGAGAGUGGACGUUACUCGCAGAAUAAGCACCGGCUAACUCUGUGCCAGCAGCCGCGGUAAUACAGAGGGUGCGAGCGUUAAUCGGAUUUACUGGGCGUAAAGCGUGCGUAGGCGGCUUUUUAAGUCGGAUGUGAAAUCCCUGAGCUUAACUUAGGAAUUGCAUUCGAUACUGGANAGCUAGAGUAUGGGAGAGGAUGGUAGAAUUCCAGGUGUAG